rnacentral:rRNA from 1 species
AUUGAACGCUGGCGGCAGGCCUAACACAUGCAAGUCGAGCGGAUGAGAGGAGCUUGCUUCUCGAUUCAGCGGCGGACGGGUGAGUAAUGCCUAGGAAUCUGCCUGGUAGUGGGGGACAACGUUUCGAAAGGAACGCUAAUACUGCGUACGUCCUACGGGAGCAGGCAGGGGACCUGCGGGCCUUGGGCUAUCAGACUCGCCUGGGUCGGAUUAGCUAGUUGGUGGGGUAAAGGCCUACCAAGGCGACGAUCUGUAGCGGGUCUGAGAGGAUGAGCCGCCACACUGGGACUGAGACACGGCCCAGAAUCCUACGGGAGGCAGCAGUGGGGAAUAUUGGACAAUGGGCGAAAGCCUGAUCCAGCCAUGCCGCGUGUGUGAAGAAGGUCUUCGGAUUGUAAAGCACUUUAAGUUGGGAGGAAGGGCAGUAAGUUAAUACCUUGCUGUUUUGACGUUACCGACAGAAUAAGCACCGGCUAACUUCGUGCCAGCAGCCGCAGUAAUAC